AGGUAACUCCCUCACUCUCUUUAAUGUGCCUGUGUAUACUUUAUCUCAUCUUACCUUUCUGUCCCCUGGCCACAAUCGGCAGGACAAAAGACCGGCUCAUACAGAAGGCAGACGCGAGCAGACUGCUCAGCAGAGACGAGCCUGUCCGCAGAUAUUUCCCAAUGAUAGCAUGUAACCUUUCCAGCUCGCAGAGAUCUUACAGCUGAGUUCUCAGAGGAGCUCCUGCUGCAUGCUGACUCCUGCCUAUCCAAGACUCCAUGAAGUCAAGACCAAGAGUGAACAACCCAACUUUCCCCAUUUGUAUGUCUUAGAAAGAGUCUCACACCAUAGUCCAUCUCAGGACUUCUAGAAAACAGCUUUUGAGUAUUUCUGGACCUCAUGAGAAAUCCUUGAAAGUAACUUGACGGGUACAGUCACAAAAAAGCAAUGGUGCUGAACAAUUCACUGUCAUUAGACCCCAGUAAUCAGAACCUUGAAGAAGAAGAAAGGAGAAGGAUGGCGAAGAGAAGGGGGAACUGGAGAAGAGAAGAAAGAAAAAUAAGUCCUGGGUAGUGGAUCACUGCUACAGUUAUAGCAUUCAAGAAGUUGAAAUAGUAUUCCCUGACUAUGAGGCCAGCCUGGUCUACAUAUUUGUUUCUAGGCUAGCCUGGGCUACAGAAUGAGAUUCUAUCAAAAAUAAAAGACAAAAAUAAAGAAAAAUAAAGUAUUUACUGAUUCACAUUGGGACUCCUAGCACUACUUUUGCAUUAAUUCAAUUUGUGCGCUGGUUAAUUUGAUUGAAGUCAUUUUACUUCUGUGUAUGAUAAGCCACAGAUAUAAUUGCUUGGUAUUUGAUCAGAGGAUGCUUACCCACAAUUAUAACAUUUUCGUUUCAGGAGCAAUCUAAGUGAAGUGUAAUUGAAAACCUUUAAUAGAAAUUUUUACAAAGCUCACUGAUGAUUUCAAAACACAUGCAACAUCUUUAUACUGACAACACGAAAAUGAUUCCUUAAUCUGCCAUUCGAGGUCUUUGUUAUCUGUUCCAAUGUAAGUGAUUUUGGCUGCUUAUUAAGAGCUGUACUCUUCACUGGUGAGACAAUCCCAGGCUGCCUCUGGGGUUGGGCUGUGCUGAUUUCCUGUGUGUUCUCUAUUCUUGUAAGGUAACAGCUGUUGGUCAGGUAUCUUCGGGCAUCUCUAAAGUAUUUUAUUGUUUUCUUUAUAACUCGGUAACCUGUUGAGCCUCCUCUCUGCUCCUUUGCACGAUUUGCAUUUUCUUCAUUGAGAUACCAAUUAUUUAAGGAUGAGUAAUUAAUUUAAUAAAUAAUGACCCCCAAACAACUCAAGUUUAUUUUCUAUUCAAAACGAUAAUUGAGUAUUCCCCAAACUUAAGGUUCAGCAUAGUAAACGAGGAAUUAAACUUCUGAGAUGUAUAGUCAAAAAAGUUUGAACCUAAACUGAACUUGACUAAGAGUUGCAUAAACAAAACAGCCAAAUUGCAGAAAACCAGGAAUACAUUUUUAUGUGUGUCUCCCCGUUCCUGCCUCCUUGGGAAAACAUUUACCUUUAGGUGCCUAGUUGUCCAUAUGCUAAAAAUGUGAUGGACAUUGGGCAUUUUGGCAUUACUGUCUGCAGGAAGACACGGGGAGAGUGGAGAGGCUUUGAAAGAUGGAAAUACAAUGAAGAGAAAUCAUUUUCAUGUGUUUUGUAACAACAGACAGCCACGUCGAGAUUGAUAGGUGAAGCAGAAGUAGAGCAAAGAGAAGGUUUGACUUUCAAGGCCAUGUACACAUUAGCAUUGUGAAAUAUCACAAAGGAAUGAGUCCGUCUGAAAGGCUGGAAAGAUGUUCCCACAGCAUAAUUUUUGCAUUAGUAAAUCUAACACAAUGGUGAUAUAUAAGGUUAGUGCUUUAAAGUCAAUUGAAUGCCUGCACGGUUUGCGUCCACAAUGAGGAAAUGAAAAUAGCAAUGCAAUUUUACCUGCAGCAAUAUUAAAAACAUGCGAAAACAGUAAUAAAUUAGAAGAUACACGGCCUCUGUAGUGAAAGCUACAAAGUACUGCUAAAAGACCCUGGCAACAGCAUUCCACACCGUGUGCUAUUUAUAAGAUAGUAGUCUUGUCAACAUUGAUCUAUAGACUCUAUGUGCUAUCCAUUAAAACUCAAUAAAUUUAUUGUAAAACAU